AACUAAACACAUUUAAAAGGGGCUCUCUCUCUCUCUCUCUCCCUCCCUCUCUCUCUCUCUCUCUCUCUCACACACACACACACACACACACACACACACAAUCCCUUUCUCGGGAACCAGUUUCCCAUUUUCUCACAGCCCUUUGUCAAGGCUCUAUGGAGGCGAGGGUGGAUGGCAGGAGAGAGGGCUCUUAAUGUGCUGGGGAAGAGAUGCCGGUGCUGUUUUAAGAAAAAAAGGGUGGGGGGGACACGGUUGAAUGAAGAACCCCGGACCGCCUGUAUUCCACGGUCAGAAGGCCUCCUUCCCGCCGCUCCAGAGAAACCCUCUUCGAUUUACCAGGCGGAAGGAGCCUUCAUCGGGCUAGCACGGCUCAGAGAGCCUAUGCUAAAAAGAAAAGUGAUGCAUGAUUGCACUCGUUUUAACGUCCGGCCGUGCGUUUUCGUCAGAGAGGUGGCGGCGCAGAGGGAGAACGAGGAACCCCUGACGUAAAGGUUCUCCAAGUCUCCAAAGAUGUGGCCCGUCGCAAGCCGAGAGCAAAAAGCACAAGACCCUCCUCCAGCAUGGCCCGACAGGAUCCCCCCUCCCCCACUAUUUCUCGAGGCAACUCCAUUCUCGAAGGCCUCUUAGACCCAAGGUAGGCAGGAAAGAGGAAAACGCAGCCCGGACGUCUACAACCGCCGCCUCAGGGCUCUCAGUCUCCCAAUGGAAGGUAGAUACCUUGAGAUCGUCCCGUGUAAACCAAGCACAGCCAACUUAAGUUUUGUGGCGAAGUGGGAAAAGACAUGGGAGUCGGAGUAUAAGAGGACGCUUCACUUGCCUCCCGUUCCUUGGGCUAUGAAUGUGGGAAGGCCGAGCCAUUUCUUUAGGAAACUUUUCCAAGGGCUUUUGGAGAGUGUAUUUAACAAAGUCCUGUGUUUUGGUUUAUUUUUUUCAUGCCUUGGGGAGGAUCCAGACAUCUUGAGACAAUUAUAUUAAUUCAAUUCUCCAAUGAAGAAAGGGGGCUAAUAAUCCACACACACACACACACACAAUGAAACGGAGAAGUUUGCAAAGGCGUGGCCUUAACACGGAUGAGUCUGAACAAAACAUAGAAAGAAUCCUUCAGAAACAAAAAACAAUACCAAGGCUCCAGUCAAGGAAAAACUUUGAUUUUUUUUUUUUUAAAGAACUCUUAUGAGCAAUGAUAAUGUCUUGGGCAUCUUCACAUUUUAAUAAUGAAAAGUACAACUCUACAUUAUAAUUUACACUUCUCAAGCAGUGGUGGUUUCGGUUUUUCUUUUUGUCUGUCUUUUCCCCGAGUGCUUGAAGGAGUAUUCCUGAUUUCAGCCCCGAUGUUUAUUUAUGGUCAGGAUGAUCCGAGUGGCGACUGGUGAGGCACCCUACCAGUGAGAGGACUUCCUUGCAGGUGAGGGGGAGAGAAAGACUGGUUCAGAGUCCUAGUCUGCCAAGGGUUUCCACUGGGAUCUAGGAACGAAUUAUCUUGAAAAGCCAACAUUCCAUUCUAUUUGUGAAACCUAUUUCCAAAAUUUGAUAGAGUGCCUUGGUAGAAUGCCUGUAGUAAGUGGACGGGGGAUACUUUUAAAAAGUUCCUUUAGCAGCAUUUUUCAAAGGUAGUUCUCCUCCCCUCCCCCUUUUGACAGGUGGACAUACUUAAGACAUUAUAAAGGCUGUUCUUCUGCAGCUCCAAAUUAACUGCCUCCUUUUUCCUCCCGCAAAAAGCAGCGGACUCUCUUCAGUAAUUUCUGGGCAGGUUUACUAUGAUUGUCCCAAGAGGGUUGGCUUACUUGUUGGUUUAAUUAAUUUACACAUCUCUUACUAUCUCCAACUAACUAACUCCAGACUGUGCUGUUUGGGGGGGCAGGUUCUGUAUGAAACUAUUGUUUAGGUGUGCUCCGUUGCCGGCGAGUCUACAAAAUGUACCAUUUUAAAAAUAAGGUGCAUCUGGACUUCAAUUUUGUAAACACCAACUGGGAAAUAAACCCCAUUAAACUCAGUGGAAUGUACUUCUGAGUUGCCAAGCAUUGGAUUAUGUUAAGUCUCUGAAGUAUUUUAGAAAGAAUAUAGAGAGUUUGUGAAUAACUCUGGUGGCCGAUCCGGAGUUGGUGGAGUGGAAAAAAAUGACAUUUCAACCUUGCCUUUUUACCUAGAAAUAAAUUAGAAAUGAAAGGAGGCAGAUCUCACUUCAGGCUGGUCUACACAGGUAGACCAUUUUCUCAAUUUUUAGUACUGUAGUUUGCUUUUUACAAACAUGGAUCAGGGGAGAGACUUAUAGGAAACUUUCCUUAUCUGUCCUUUACAACAUAUCAGAGUUAACUAAAUAUUCAAGUUCCAGAAGAGGGCUCAGUUUGUUGCGUUCUUGGCAAUUAAUCACUAACUGCAAUUAAGUACUUUAUCUCAUUCUUCGAACACAUCCUUCAUUUCUAUAAUCGGAUCAGAGUCAUUGCAAUUAAAGCAAGGAAGAGUUAGGCUGUUGCUUUCCAAAUGAAAUCCUUCUUUUUAUCAUCUUCCUCCUCCUUUUCCUCUACAAAAAGUUCCCAAUUUACUGCUUAUUGGACAUACUAAACACAUUUACACCUUAACAGUGCAAUCUGGGUAUAACCAGCAGGAAGUAGAAUCUUUCCAUUCCUUGGGGUCUCCUCAUCAGGACGGCUGUUUUUUCCUUGACAAAACUUUUAGAAAGGGUGGGUCUUACUUUUGAGUAAAACUUGGGGCUGUCCUGUCGUUUUAUGUUUCAGAUUUCUCCCUUUCUCUCACUCAAGGUCUUUCUAUUUUUCUUCUGUUUGUGUGCACGCAUGCGUGAAUGGAAAGGGGUGCAAAAUGAAGGAAUCUCUCAGGAGUCAACGUGGCUGUCUUUUUCUUUUCUUUUCUUUUCUUUUCUUUUCUUUUCUUUUCUUUUCUUUUCUUUUCCUUCCUUCCUUUCUUUCUUAUUUAUUAUAUUACAUUGACAUAAUCAUAAGCGGAGCUUCACGUUCCUCUUUUUCCAAAGUUACAAGCCUGCCUUGGUGUGCAUUUUUAAGUUAAUUAACCUGCUAAAAUUGAUUUCUGUUAUCAGCCAACAGCUCCCUAUCUUAGCCAGAUCAGCCCCUUUAAAUGAGAUAGUGCUGAACAAUUUAUGAAAUGAAAAACUGCUUAAGACAAGGCAAAUAAAUAAAGGGGGUCUUAUGGCUCAGGAAUAAACUGCUGUGAGGAAAGAAAGAAAGAAAGAAAGAAAGAAAGAAAGAAAGAAAGAAAGAAAGAAAGACUUAACUUCUUAAGAAGUUUUAAAAUUAAUGUUUCUCUCAGAGAAUGAAAUUUGCAGAUUCUUCAUUCAGUUUUCUUCACUUAAUUUUUCUGAUUCCUUUUAAGAUGUGCUAACAGAAAUGAAACUGUAAAAUCCAACUGUUAAUUAAAACUAUAUUUCAUUGAAAUGAACAUUGUAAAUAAACUUACAUAAUCUGGAAAAAGAUCAAAGUCAACUUUUAAUUAUUUUUGUCUCAUUUACUCAGAAAUCACUUUUAAAAUUAACUGGCACAGUUUAGUAUUUCUGGACAUAAUUUUAAACCGAGAGUACUCUUUCAUUUAUAUAUAAACUCUUAUAUCUCUUACAUGUACUGUCAGAUGUGUGUUGUUAUUUUAUUCAGUUUAUUCUCCUGACUGAUAUAUGACUUGAUUUUAUAAAAUCAAUUGCCAAAAUCAUUAAGAGCAUGUCUUCGGUGUUUCAUGUUUUAAAAAUGUGUAUCAACUUUUUAAGACAUUCAAAUUGUUCUUUAGAAAAGGAUGUCCAGUGCUCUCUGUAUUUCUUAAAGAAAAAUUAAAUUAGAUCUUUUGAAUUAA